GAGCAUCCGCGAGGCGUCGGCGGUGGUUUGCGACCUGAUGCGGCGUCGCCGCUAGCCAGAGCGUGAUGACUUUUCUUCGAAUCGUCAUCGCGCUCCAGCUCUUUGUUUGAGCAUGAUCUUUUCGGAAAANNNNNNNNNNUGUCCACUUUUCCGGAUCAUCUCGUUCUCGCAAGCCCGGCGAGUUUUUUUUGCGCAGCAUC
rnacentral:misc_RNA from 1 species